rnacentral:rRNA from 1 species
GACGAACCGUGCGAACGUUGUUCGGAUUCACUGGGCUUAAAGGGCGCGUAGGCGGAUUGCCAAGUCAGGGGUGAAAUCUUUCGGCUCAACCGGAAAACAGCCCCUGAUACUGGCGGUCUUGAGGGAGGUAGGGGCAGGUGGAACUUCCGGUGGAGCGGUGAAAUGUGUUGAUAUCGGAAGGAACGCCGGUGGCGAAAGCGACCUGCUGGAUCUCUGCUGACGCUGAGGCGCGAAAGCUAGGGUAGCGAACGGG